GGCGUGGAUUAGGCAUGCAAGUCGAGCGCGAAAGCUCCCUUCGGGGAGUCAGUAGAGCGGCGAACUGGUGAGUAACAGGUGGGUAACGUGCCCCAAAGCGGGGGAUAAGCCGGGGAAACUCGGGCUAAUACCGCAUACGGCUGUCGAGACUCUGGUCUUGACGGCUAAAGACUUCGGUCACUUUGGGAUCGGCCCGCCCCCGAUUAGCUAGUUGGUGAGGUAACGGCUCACCAAGGCUGCGAUCGGUAGCUGGUCUGAGAGGAUGGUCAGCCACACUGGGACUGAGAUACGGCCCAGACUCCUACGGGGGGCAGCAGUCUAGAGGCUUCGGCAAUGGACGAAAGUCUGACCGAGCGACGCCGCGUGUGUGAUUGAAGGCCUUCGGGUCGUAAAGCACUGUCAGGAGGGAAGAAUGCCCAUAUGGUGAAUAUGGGAGAGACGGUACCUCCAGAGGAAGCCCCGGCUAACUCCGUGCCAGCAGCCGCGGUAAUACGGAGGGGGCGAGCGUUGUUCGGAUUUACUGGGCGUAAAGGGUCCGUAGGCGGCUGUGUAAGUCUGGUGUGAAAGCUUCGACGCUUAACGUGAAGUCUGCACUGGAAACUGCACAGCUUGAGUAUGGUAGAGGCAAGCGGAAUUCCUGGUGUAGCGGUGGAAUGUGUAGAUAUCAGGAAGAACACCGGUGGCGAAGGCGGCUUGCUGGGCCACUACUGACGCUGAGGGACGAAAGCGUGGGGAGCGAACGGGAUUAGAUACCCCGGUAGUCCACGCCGUAAACGGUGCACACUAGGUGUAGCGGGUAUCGACCCCUGCUGUGCCGACGUCAACACAUUAAGUGUGCCGCCUGGGGAGUACGACCGCAAGGUUGAAACUCAAAGGAAUUGACGGAGGCCCGCACAAGCGGUGGAGCAUGUGGCUUAAUUCGAUGCAACGCGAAGAACCUUACCUGGGUUUGACAUGCCCGUCGUAUCCUCCUGAAAGGGAGGAGUCAGCUCGGCUGGACGGUGCACAGGUGCUGCAUGGCUGUCGUCAGCCCGUGCCGUGAGGUGUUGGGUUAAGUCCCGCAACGAGCGCAGCCCUUAUGUUUAGUUGCCACUCCCUUCGGGGAAGCACUCUAGACAGACUGCCCGUGACAAGCGGGAGGAAGGAGGGGAUGACGUCAAGUCAGUAUGGUCCUUAUACCCAGGGCUGCACACGUGCUACAAUGGCCGGUACAGAGGGCCGCGACGCCGCGAGGCGAAGCAAAUCCCCAAAACCGGUCUUAGUUCGGAUCGUAGUCUGCAAUUCGACUACGUGAAGUUGGAAUCGCUAGUAAAUGCGUAUCAGCAAUGGCGCACCGAAUACGUUCCCGGGCAUUGUACACACCGCCCGUCACAUCAUGAA
rnacentral:rRNA from 1 species